UACGAAGGGGGCUAGCGUUGCUCGGAAUCACUGGGCGUAAAGGGCGCGUAGGCGGCCCGCACAAGUCUGCGGUGAAAACCUCCGGCUUAACCGGGGGCCGGCCGUGGAAACUGUCGGGCUGGAGGCUGGGAGAGGGCAGCGGAAUUCCCGGUGUAGCGGUGAAAUGCGUAGAGAUGGGGAGAACACUCGUGGCGAAGGCGGCCAGCUAGACCAGUUCUGACACUGAGGCGCGACAGCGUGGGGAGCAAACAGG
rnacentral:rRNA from 1 species